ACUGGCGGCGUGCCUAACACAUGCAAGUCGAACGGAGUUCUUAAGGAAUGCGGGCUUCGGCCAAAUGACUUUUGAACUUAGUGGCGGACGGGUGAGUAACGCGUGAGUAACCUGCCCUCUAGACUGGGAUAACUUCUGGAAACGGACUGUAAUACCGGAUGUCAUCUGACUACCGCAUGGUAAUCAGAAAAAAGCUUAGAUGCACUAGAGGAUGGACUCGCGGCGUAUUAGCUAGUUGGUGAGAUAGAAGCUCACCAAGGCGACGAUACGUAGCCGACCUGAGAGGGUGACCGGCCACACUGGGACUGAGACACGGCCCAGACUCCUACGGGAGGCAGCAGUAGGGAAUCAUCGGCAAUGGGGGAAACCCUGACCGUGCAAUGCCGCGUGAGUGAAGAAGGCCUUAUGGGUUGUAAAGCUCUGUUGUGAAGGAAGAACAUGUUAGAUAGAAUCUAGCACUGACGGUACUUCACCAGAAAGCCAUGGCUAACUACGUG
rnacentral:rRNA from 1 species